rnacentral:misc_RNA from 1 species
GAUGAAGAACGUAGCGAAAUGCGAUAAGUAGUGUGAAUUGCAGAAUUCAGUGAAUCAUCGAAUCUUUGAACGCACAUUGCGCCCCUUGGUAUUCCAUGGGGCAUGCCUGUUCGAGCGUCAUUUGUACCUUCAAGCUUUGCUUGGUGUUGGGUGUUUGUCCCGAGGGACUCGCCUUAAAGUAAUUGGCAGCCAGUGUUUGGUUUUGAAGCGCAGCACAAGUCGCGAUUCAAGGCUACACGCCCGCUUCCACAAGCCUUUUUUCCCUUUUGACCUCGGAUCAGGUAGGGAUACCCGCUGAACUUAAGCAUAUCAAUAAGCGGAGGA